rnacentral:rRNA from 1 species
CUUUAAGAAAGCGUUACAGCUCCACCACACCCAACCCAAAAUCAUUUCAACACCCAUCAACCCUUAAUCCCUACUGAACCAUUUUAUACUACUAUAAAAACUAUUAUGCUAGGACUAGUAACAAGAAUUUGCUUUUCUCCUUAAUAUAAACAUAAACCAAAACGGACCAUCCAUUGGCAAUUAACGUUAAUGAACUAAUUAUAAUAACAACCCUGCUAGAAAACUCUAUAUUUUAUAACGUUAACCUUACACCAGAAUAUUAAAGGAAAGAUUAAAAGAAAAAGAAGGAACUCGGCAAAUUUCAACCCCGCCUGUUUACCAAAAACAUCGCCUCUUGAUUAACAUAAGAGGUCCAGCCUGCCCAGUGACAAUGUUCAACGGCCGCGGUACCCUAACCGUGCAAAGGUAGCAUAAUCACUUGUUCUUUAAAUGAGGACUUGUAUCAAUGGCAUCACGAGGGUUGUACUGUCUCCUUUUUCUAAUCAGUGAAACUGAUCUCCCCGUGAAGAAGCUGGGAUUUUAAUAUAAGACGAGAAGACCCCAUGGAGCUUUAAAUUAUGUACUUACUCUAUGUAAAAACACCAAUAAAGCUAAAAAAACUUAAGUACAAUUUUAGGUUGGGGCGACCACGGAGUAUAAUACAACCUCCACAACAAACAGGCCACACCUUUAUCUACGAGCCACACCUCUAAGAAUUAACAUAUUAAUGUUUAAUGACCCGAAUAUUCGAUCAAUGAACCAAGUUACCCUGGGGAUAACAGCGCAAUCUAUUUCAAGAGUCCUUAUCGACAAAUAGGUUUACGACCUCGAUGUUGGAUCAGGGUAUCCAAGUGGUGCAGCCGCUACUAACGGUUCGUUUGUUCAACGACUAAAACC